GAUGAACGCUCGCGAUAGGCUUAACACAUGCAAGUCGAGGGGCAGCACAAGGUAGCUUGCUCUCUGGGUGGCGACCGGCGCACGGGUGCGUAACGCGUAUGCAACUUGCCCUAUACAGGAGGAUAACCCGUCGAAAGACGGACUAAUACUGCGUAUGCUCACAACUUGGCAUCAAGUGGUGAGGAAAGAAAUUCGGUAUAGGAUAGGCAUGCGUCCCAUUAGCUUGUUGGUGAGGUAACGGCUCACCAAGGCAACGAUGGGUAGGGGAACUGAGAGGUUUAUCCCCCACACUGGUACUGAGACACGGACCAGACUCCUACGGGAGGCAGCAGUGAGGAAUAUUGGUCAAUGGGCGCGAGCCUGAACCAGCCAAGUCGCGUGAAGGAGGACUGUCUUAUGGAUUGUAAACUUCUUUUAGACGGGAAUAACAAGAGUCACGUGUGACUCCCUGCAUGUACCGUAUGAAUAAGCAUCGGCUAACUCCGUG
rnacentral:rRNA from 1 species